rnacentral:rRNA from 1 species
AACGAACGCUGGCGGCAGGCUUAACACAUGCAAGUCGAGCGCCCCGCAAGGGGAGCGGCAGACGGGUGAGUAACGCGUGGGAAUCUACCCAUCUCUACGGAAUAACGCAUGGAAACGUGUGCUAAUACCGUAUACGCCCUUCGGGAGAAAGAUUUAUCGGAGAUGGAUGAGCCCGCGUUGGAUUAGCUAGUUGGUGGGGUAAAGGCCUACCAAGGCGACGAUCCAUAGCUGGUCUGAGAGGAUGAUCAGCCACACUGGGACUGAGACACGGCCCAGACUCCUACGGGAGGCAGCAGUGGGGAAUAUUGGACAAUGGGCGCAAGCCUGAUCCAGCCAUGCCGCGUGAGAGAUGAAGGCCCUAGGGUUGUAAAGCUCUUUCACCGGUGAAGAUAAUGACGGUAACCGGAGAAGAAGCCCCGGCUAACUUCGUGCCAGCCGCCGCAGUAACAC